GAUGAACGCUGGCGGCGUGCCUAAUACAUGCAAGUCGAGCGAACGGACGAGAAGCUUGCUUCUCUGAUGUUAGCGGCGGACGGGUGAGUAACGCGUGGGUAACCUGCCCUGUACAGGGGGAUAACAGCUGGAAACGGCUGCUAAUACCGCAUAAGCGCACGAGGAGACAUCUCCUUGUGUGAAAAACUCCGGUGGUACAGGAUGGGCCCGCGUCUGAUUAGCUGGUUGGCAGGGUAACGGCCUACCAAGGCAACGAUCAGUAGCCGGUCUGAGAGGAUGAACGGCCACAUUGGAACUGAGACACGGUCCAAACUCCUACGGGAGGCAGCAGUGGGGAAUAUUGCACAAUGGGGGAAACCCUGAUGCAGCAACGCCGCGUGAGUGAAGAAGUAUUUCGGUAUGUAAAGCUCUAUCAGCAGGGAAGAUAAUGACGGUACCUGACUAAGAAGCUCCGGCUAAAUACGUG
rnacentral:rRNA from 1 species